GUAGGGUGCAAGCGUUAUCCGGAAUCAUUGGGCGUAAAGAGCUCGUAGGCGGUUCAGCAAGUCGGCUGUGAAAUCCCGAGGCUUAACCUCGGAACUGCAGUCGAUACUGCUGUGACUAGAGUCCGGUAGAGGAGAAUGGAAUUCCCGGUGUAGCGGUGAAAUGCGCAGAUAUCGGGAGGAACACCAGUAGCGAAGGCGGUUCUCUGGGCCGGUACUGACGCUGAGGAGCGAAAGCGUGGGUAGCAAACAGGAUUAGAUACCCUGGUAGUCCACGCCGUAAACGUUGGACACUAGGUGUGGCGUUCCGACCAACGGGUGCCCGUGCCGAAGCUAACGCAUUAAGUGUCCCGCCUGGGGAGUACGGCCGCAAGGCUA
rnacentral:rRNA from 1 species